rnacentral:rRNA from 1 species
ACUCCUACGGGAGGCAGCAGUGGGGAAUCUUGGACAAUGGGGGCAACCCUGAUCCAGCCAUGCCGCGUGAGUGAUGAAGGCCUUAGGGUCGUAAAGCUCUUUCGCCUGUGAAGAUAAUGACGGUAGCAGGUAAAGAAACCCCGGCUAACUCCGUGCCAGCAGCCGCGGUAAUACGGAGGGGGUUAGCGUUGUUCGGAAUUACUGGGGCGUAAAGCGCACGUAGGCGGAUCGGAAAGUUGGGGGUGAAAUCCCGGGGCUCAACCCCGGAACGGCCUCCAAAACUAUCGGUCUAGAGUUCGAGAGAGGUGAGUGGAAUUCCGAGUGUAGAGGUGAAAUUCGUAGAUAUUCGGAGGAACACCAGUGGCGAAGGCGGCUCACUGGCUCGAUACUGACGCUGAGGUGCGAAAGUGUGGGAGCAAACAGGAUUAGAUACCCUGGUAGGACAGUG